GGGCCCGCACAAGCGGUGGAGUAUGUGGUUUAAUUCGAUGCAACGCGAAGAACCUUACCAGGGUUUGACAUCCUGCGAAUCUCUUGGAAACUUGAGAGUGCCUUCGGGAGCGCAGUGACAGGUGGUGCAUGGCUGUCGUCAGCUCGUGUCGUGAGAUGUUGGGUUAAGUCCCGCAACGAGCGCAACCCACGUCUUUAGUUGCCAGCAUUUAGUUGGGCACUCUAGAGAGACCGCCGGUGAUAAACCGGAGGAAGGUGUGGAUGACGUCAAGUCAUAUGGCCCCCUUACAUCCUGGGCUACACACGUACUACAAUGCUACGGACAAAGGGCAGCAAGUUCGCGAGGACAAGCAAA
rnacentral:rRNA from 1 species